rnacentral:rRNA from 1 species
UACGGGGGGAGCAAGCGUUGUUCGGAUUUACUGGGCGUAAAGGGCGCGUAGGCGGCCAGUGCAAGUCAGUUGUGAAAUCUCCGAGCUUAACUCGGAAAGGUCAACUGAUACUGCUCGGCUAGAGUGCGGAAGGGGCAACUGGAAUUCUUGGUGUAGCGGUGAAAUGCGUAGAUAUCGGGAGGAACACCAGUGGCGAAGGCGACUUCCUGGCCUGUUCUUGACGCUGAGGCGCGAAAGCUAGGGGAGCAAACGGG